GUGAAAGACCUACUUCAUUUCACAGACCACCUUAGUCUUCACUCAUUCUAGUAAACAUUGUCAGUGGGCUUAAGCUCUUUCAAAUUUUCUUCUGUCAAUUGGUCCUUCCACUUCACAUGAUGAAAGUUUGAGAACAGCAGCUCGUACAGGAAAUGUUACUGAUUUGUACAAUUUAAUUCAAAGAAAUGGAAAUGUUUUGAGGCACUUUGAUGAGGUGGAGUUUGUCGACACUCCUUUACACAUUGCUGCAGAAGAAGGAUGCAUUAGGUUUGCAAUGGAAAUGAUGAACUUAAAGCCAGCAUUUGCUAGGAAGCUAAACCAAGAGGGCUUGAGCCCACUUCACAUUGCAGUUAAACGAGGGCAUAAGAGAUGGCUCUACGUUUCUUGGAAAUGGAUAAAGAUCUUGUUCGUGUCAAAGGAAAGAACGGUGAGCCUUAGAUCGAUGGACUUGGAGCUGGGCGGG